rnacentral:rRNA from 1 species
AUUGAACGCUGGCGGCAGGCUUAACACAUGCAAGUCGAACGCAUCCUUCGGGGUGAGUGGCAGACGGGUGAGUAACGCGUGGGAACGUGCCCUUCAGUUCGGGAUAACCCAGGGAAACUUGGGCUAAUACCGGAUAUGUGCGAGAGCAGAAAGAUUUAUCGCUGAAGGAUCGGCCCGCGUCUGAUUAGCUAGUUGGUGGGGUAAUGGCCCACCAAGGCGACGAUCAGUAGCUGGGCUGAGAGGAUGAUCAGCCACAUUGGGACUGAGACACGGCCCGAACUCCUACGGGAGGCAGCAGUGGGGGAUAUUGGACAAUGGGCGCAAGCCUGAUCCGGCCAUGCCGCGUGAGUGAUGAAGGCCUUAGGGUUGUAAAGCUCUUUCGUCCGGGACGAUAAUGACGGUACCGGAAGAAGAAGCCCCGGCUAACUUCGUGCCAGCCGCCGCUGUAA